CCCUCCCGGCUUCUCCGAGCCGGCCGCUCCUCGGGCUCCCUCCCGGCUUGCGAUGAACGGUCUCCGUUACUGCGUCCAGAGUACGGUCGGGGAAACCGAGGCCCGCUCCUGGCCUGCGCAGCUUCUGGAUCCUUGGUCUUCGCUCCAGCGUGGGCACAGCUGUGCAGGCACAAGGUGUUCAUCAGAGCGUGGCCACCGAUGGCCCAAGCAGCACCCAGCCUGCCCUGCCAAAGGCCAGAGCCGUGGCUCCCAAACCCAGCAGCCGGGGCGAGUAUGUGGUGGCCAAGCUGGAUGACCUCAUCAACUGGGCCCGCCGGAGUUCUCUGUGGCCCAUGACCUUCGGCCUGGCCUGCUGCGCCGUGGAGAUGAUGCACAUGGCCGCACCCCGCUACGACAUGGACCGCUUCGGCGUGGUCUUCCGCGCCAGCCCGCGCCAGUCCGACGUCAUGAUCGUGGCCGGCACACUCACCAACAAGAUGGCCCCAGCGCUUCGCAAGGUAGGCCUCGUCCCCGCCGCCCAGCCGCCCCCAGAGUGAGCUGCGCACGGACCCCGUCUCUCUUCCAGGUCUACGACCAGAUGCCGGAGCCGCGCUACGUGGUCUCCAUGGGGAGCUGCGCCAACGGAGGAGGCUACUACCACUACUCAUACUCGGUGGUGAGGGGCUGCGACCGCAUCGUGCCUGUGGACAUCUACAUC
rnacentral:sRNA from 1 species